rnacentral:rRNA from 1 species
UACGAAGGGGGCUAGCGUUGUUCGGAAUUAUUGGGCGUAAAAGACGUCGCUAUGAGCGGCUUGUCGCGUCGACUGUGAAAACCCGCGGCUCAACCGCGUGGCUUGCAGUCGAUACGGGCAGGCUAGAAUUCGGUAGGGGAGACUGGAAUUCCUGGUGUAGCGGUGAAAUGCGCAGAUAUCAGGAGGAACACCGGUGGCGAAGGCGGGUCUCUGGGCCGAUAUUGACGCUGAGGAGCGAAAGCGUGGGGAGCGAACAGG